rnacentral:rRNA from 1 species
AGAGUUUGAUCCUGGCUCAGAACGAACGCUGGCGGCAGGCUUAACACAUGCAAGUUGAACGGGAUUUGUAUGGUGCUUGCACCAUGUAAUGAGAGUAGCGCACUGGUGAGUAACACGUGGGAACAUACCUUGAAGUGGGGGACAACAGUUGGAAACGACUGCUAAUACCGCAUAAUCCCUGAGGGGGAAAGAUUUAUCGCUUUAAGAUUGGCCCGCGGAAGAUUAGGUAGUUGGUGGGGUAAAGGCCUACCAAGCCGACGAUCUAUAGCUGGUCUGAGAGGACGAACAGCCACAUUGGAACUGAGACACGGUCCAGACUCCUACGGGAGGCAGCAGUGAGGAAUAUUGGGCAAUGGAGGAAACUCUGACCCAGCCAUGCCGCGUGAGUGAAGAAGGUUUUCGAAUUGUAAAGCUCUUUCGGAUGGGACGAUGAUGACGGUACCAUCUAAAGAAGCCCCGGCAAACUUCGUGCCAGCAGCCGCGGUAAUACGAAGGGGGCAAGCGUUGUUCGGAAUUACUGGGCGUAAAGGGUGUGUAGGCGGAUUUGUAAGAUAGUGGUGAAAUACCUGAGCUCAACUUAGGAAUUGCCAUUAUAACUAUAGAUCUGGAGUGACAGAGAGGAUAUUGGAAUACCCAGUGUAGAGGUGAAAUUCGUAGAUAUUGGGUAGAACACCAGUGGCGAAGGCGAGUAUCUGGCUGUCAACUGACGCUGAGGCACGAAAGCAUGGGGAUCAAACAGGAUUAGAUACCCUGGUAGUCCAUGCUGUAAACGAUGAAUGCUGGUUGUCGGCUUUAGGGUCGGUGACGAAGUUAACGCGAUAAGCAUUCCGCCUGGGGAGUACGGUCGCAAGAUUAAAACUCAAAGGAAUUGACGGGGACCCGCACAAGCGGUGGAGCAUGUGGUUUAAUUCGAUGCAACGCGAAGAACCUUACCAACUCUUGACAUCCUUAUCGGGGGGCACAGAGAUGAGCCCUUUCAGUUAGGCUGGAUAAGUGACAGAUGCUGCAUGGCUGUCGUCAGCUCGUGUCGUGAGAUGUUGGGUUAAGUCCCGCA